rnacentral:lncRNA from 1 species
AUACAUUCCUUUAACACAGGUUGAAAUUGAGGGUCUUGGGGAAGAGGGCCACUCUCAACUCUUGCAUAGGAAGUUCUGUUCACACACUCAUGUUAACAAAUGGUACUCUUGAAGUGAGUCCGUGGAAAAACAGAUAAAAUGAGUAUAAUCACUGUAAACCUUCAUAGAAUAGGAUGGAGAUCCUGGGAGGGAGAAAGGAUUUUCAUCUGCAUGACAAAACCCCUUCUAGCCCUUCAGUUCACAUCCACUGCCCCUGCCCAAUGACAGAGAGCUGGCCUGUCACCCUACAAGGGCAGUGCUGAGCUAUUUCCCAAGCCCAGGAACCAACUCAGGAAGCAACCCUUCCAAUAAAGAAAGAAUGACAGAGCAGAGAGGGUCCCAAGGAAACACCCUGAGAAAGACAGAGAGUAAGGUGUCAAAAGACUGAAAUGUGCACAAUGAAUGGAAAAUAAAGCAAACACAGACUCCCUCAGCAAGACCACUAAGGAGAAGUGAAAGGGAAAAAAAAACCCACACACGCACACACACACAAACACCCUAACACAUGCCAACAAAGACAACAUCCUAAACAGCUCACCUUCUUCACAGCAUUGCCAGUGAGUUUGAAGGCAGACUGGGGCUGACACACUCCAGAAAUUCAAAUGCUGCGAUCCCAUGCGGACCGAAUAUAGCACCACACAAACUUAGGAAAACACACACACACACACACACACACACACACACACACACACACACCACACCACACACCACACACUUCUCCUUUCCACUCUCUAUUAAAUCAGCUGAAUUAACACUACAGGCACCGGAAUGCCUCCACAAAGAUUCAAACUCUUAGCAUCAAAGGGGUCUUAGACUCAGAUCACCACGAAAGGCACUGACACAAGGAAGAUGGUAGCAAGGAAAAGGCAGUUUUCCAUUUCAAACUUCCGGUGCCCAGGCUGGGCAUCAGGCGGUUUUAAAGUAUUCGGACAGGUGCAGAAACAUCUCAGCGCGAGGUGCCCGGGCUCCACAGAGAGCAGGAGGCUUCCAUCCACCCUUUCCAUCGCAACGCGGGAGCCCCCUCCUCAGAACCUACAUAAGGCACCGAAGCGCAGCCCAGUACGCGCGGGGACCCAUCUGGCCCAGCCCCAGGAAAGCAGCCACCGAGGGCAGACGCGCGCCUUACCUGCUACCAAGAGAUCAGCUGUCUAAACAGCAGCUUUUUUGAUUGUUGGGCUUCCUGAAAGAAACCUUGCUGACAGCUUCUCACUGACCUGCAGGACGGAACCGUACCUGAGAGGGGAUGGGGGCUCUCUCACAAAAGAAUAUUUGGGGCAGAACCCUGGAACUGGCCACCAGGGACAUCCCAAAUAUCCCCUCCUCCUCAGGGCUCACCCCGACAUCCUCAGCCAAAUGAAGGCUCUGAACCCAGCCAUCAGCUCGCAAGGCACAACUCACUUUGCAGGCUAAUCAAAAUGCUUUCUGAAGAAAAGAAAACUAAUUAUCCCACGGCUCUAUUUUUUGUUGUCGUUCUGUUUGAAAUAACUAUGAAGUCUUCACUCUGCCUAACACUAGGCCCCAACCCGCUGUUUCUUUCCACUUUUCAUCUUGCAAAACCAGUGCCUCCAACCUCUCUGGGGCUCACACAUCCCAUCAAUUUAUCAGGGACACAGUAGCAUGUUUAACCCUUUAGCCCUAGGCAGAAGUUCAUCCAGGGGAGUGGGAAAGUAGAGGCUGCUAUUCUGUACUGCUUUUAUUGGGGGGUGCUGGCAGUGGUUAGUUUGAAAAACGUUUGCUGUACGUUGCAUCAGAGGUCACAUUCAUGGGACAAGCUUUGAUUAACAAAUAAUAUAAGAAUUCCCUCUUUUCUUCUCUUACUUCCUACCUGCCUUUAUUUAUUUAUUUUUGCAUUCACAAAACUAAAGAGAAAGUCACUCCACAGAACACGAAUGGAAUAAAAGGCCAACCAUUCUACCUUUCCAAUCCUCACUCUCCCUUUCCCAUUCUUUACUGUUGCGUCAAGCAAUCUGCUGUACGGACGGGUUCGCACUGCUUUCCUUUAUUUUUUUUUCUCUUGCUGGCAUUAGAAAAGCCUGUAAAUAACCCAAGAAGAGGAGAGAAUUUUUUCCUUCAGCUCAUUUUCAUAAGAAACAUGAUACAUAAUACAUGGCACUUUAAUAAGACUUUAUCUGAACGGUUUAAUGAAAAACAAAUACAUUAUGUAAAGACCCAAUAAAUGCUCUUGGCUGCACUAAGGCAAUACAGAUUUUCCAGUCCGUUUUCUCCCCAAAGUUGGAACCCCUCAGUAGUGAUUAGAUCCCCACAGAUCCAUCUUGCAAUAACGGCUCUGACAUUCCCUUAAACUUAAGUUUUCACAGUCAGACACACUGAAGAUCUGCAAAGUACAACAUGAGAACCAGACCUAAAUCCACAUCAAAAUUAUUUGGAGUCGGGCUCUGCUCUCUGGAUAACUAAACCUGAACAUCUCUCCACCAGUGCAUGCAAACACAAUCACACACAGGGACAAGUCCCCUUCCCAUAAACACUGCAACUAUAUUAAGGAGCCCAGAGGAACACUUUUCCAUUGAUAACAUCAGUGCUCCUUAAUCAGGAAUAGGGCAUCCAAUGACCCCAAAUCAAAUGGUAGCAUCAUAUCCACAAUCAUCGCUCACUUGAUGACAACACUUUGCCAGCCUUUUAAACCGCAUCUGGGGAUAGCAAAUUUGAAUUCCAUCUCAAAAGAGACUGAGAAAGAGCCAUAUCAAGGCCACUAGCUCUGGCAUGAUUCUCCAACAUCAAUAAAUGGGAGAAGUGGGGAAAGAAAAUACUCUUAUCUCUCCACAAAAAAAAAUUCUAGACAUUCAACAUCACAUGGGUUCAUAUGCAUUCAAGGGCCACCCUGCCUGCAUUUCAGCUACAAGGACCCUUAAUGGAAUGGUUAUACAUACCCCACAGGAAGCUGAAAAAGUGCAGGAAAAUUGGCAAUCAAUAAUGUCAUCUUCAAAUGAAACUUCCUUAGGCAGAAGGCAACUACCCAAGUUUUAAUUUGACUCAUAAAAUAAUAUUGUAACUUUUUUUCUUCCAACUUUGCCAGCAAUUUAAAAGAAGAAUGGAAACCAUUUUUUUCUUUUCUCAUUUUCAUAACUAUUUAUUAUAACUUCCCAAGGCUGUUGAAAUAGCAGACAUUCCACUAAAAAAAAUACUUUCUAUAAGAGUUGCCAUACCUCAGAGCAAGCAAGACUCCAGUUAGACAGAAAGAAGGACUUGAACUUCAAUGUAAUCAUCUAUACUGGGGUUAGCUCAGUGGCAACGUCAAGAUGUGACUUAGAAAUAUUUUACUUUCACUUCCAAAUUUAAUGUGGACGACAAUAUAGUCUCCAUCUUCAUUAAAGUGAGCAUGAAAGUAUCUUUAGAAAACUUUAUUAUUUAUCUGUAUCAAAAGCACUUUGAGUCACUGGCUUGUUCAAAC